UUUCACCUAGAAUCAACACCCAGAUUUAAUUGCAAAUGUUGUGAAAAAUGUCAAGUGAAAAAUAAAUACGCUUGCUUAAAAUGUUUAAGGAUUAAUUACAGGAACACUAAACAUUGAUAUCAACAGUUUCGGUGUGAAAGGGAUAUUUUUCAAACGAGCGGGGUUGGUCAAAAAUCUAAUGACCCACUUCAAAUUACAUUGAGUUUUGUCCACCAAAUUGUGUCUGUGAUCUAGUUAAACAGUGCACCUUUAUGUCACGUGUGCAGUUAAAGGUGGAUUGUUCUACCAGAUCCAGACAUGCAAUGAAGUUGGAUUUUGCCAGAAAUGAAGUGUAAUUUUCAUGAAAUCCAGAACCUUCAUUGCACUUAAGAAAUGAUGCAUGGUGAUUUAUUCCCCGAGUAGAAAAACAUUACAGCUGUUAUUCGACGCCAAGGUGAGAGGGACAAAUUUAAAGGCGAUGUGUGGGAUUAUUUUUUAAAGUGGGUGGUGAGUACCUUGUGCAGCCAGGGGUGGUGGUUGAGGCAGAUGCGGUAGAAGCAUUUAAGAAGCUUUUGGAUAGGCAUAUCAAUAUGCCAGGAAUGGAGGGAUCUGUGCAGGUAGAUAAGGGAUGGUCUUGGUAUCAUGUUCGGCAAACAUCGCGGGCCAAAGGGCUUGUUCUUGUGCUGUACUAUUCAAUGUUAUACCAUAGAAAACAAUGUAUACUAUAUAGUAGUAUCAAUUAUUGGAAUUUAAGAAUAUUGAAACCAGAUCAUUAAUGCAUCCCUUGAACUGAUUUUUAUCCAGAUGAACCAAUUCUUUCUACAUUAUUCUGAAAUGCUUACCAUGUACCAUGUUUGAAAUACAUUAGUGACUUAAUUAAGCACUGCUUGGCUAUUUUUCAUUUUAGGAAAGGACUGGUUUAACUUUUGUGUAAAAAUCAACAAUUGUUUAUUAUGCAUUUAGAUGUUAUAAGAUUUAUUUUGUUACUGCUUACCUAUUUGGGCAAUACUCAAGGUUGUUAGUAGCUGUUUCCUAAAUCAGAAGGUUGCACAAAGUUGCAAGCGAUCAUUCUUAAGCCAAAUUGGGAUUGUAAAUUGGGAAUAAGAGGAUGGCUGAGGAACAGAUUACACACAGUGAAGCAUUUGUCAAUGACAGUGACACCAGAGGUAUGUGGCCCAUAGGAUUCUGUUGCUCAUUUUAUACAAUGUGCCAUUUUCUGAAACACUAUGUCCCAUAUUAAUAUUUUUAGUAAAACAAUAGUCUAGUUAAACAAAAAAACUAAUUCUGUCUAAACGUAUUAAUUAGAAAAUUGAAGAUUACUUAGGUGGACAGAAAGAUUAAGUGUACAUUUACUGAGCUGCUAGCUUUAAAAGGCAGGGUAAGAGUUAGUUAGGAACAUGCUUUUCCAUAUUAUUUAAAAUACUUACUGAAAAUUUGUUUAUACAUUGCAAAUAAAACAAGCAAAUAUAUAAACAGUGAAAGGUGCGUAUUAUCAAUUAAUUUGAUUCUGUCCAUCUCAUUUAAAAGUAGUUUAGGAUUUUUUUCCUAAUUUAAUGCAUCUGAGAUACACCAGUGGCAAUUCUGAAAUUCUUGAAGUGCAAUGCAUUUUUGUUAAUGACCAACUCAGCACUUAGCCUGAUGUUAAUGCCUUGAGAAAUAAAAUACAUUUUUACAUAGAAUUUCAUGUGUAAGCCUUGAACUUGAUUGUUUGGUACAAUGUAGUAAUAGGCCCUUAACUCUGCUGAACAAUACCAAUCUGUACCAUAACAAUACCAUUAACACUAUCAAUACCAAAUCCCAUGACAAUGUGAAUAUUUAUUUUAGUAUACAGAAAUCAAGUUAUAAAACCGAUUUUGCUUGAUUAUACAGCAUACACUGACUUUUAAUGGAAAUAAAGAAAAUGCUUGAUCUACACAAGGUCAGGUAGUAUGUGGAAAAAGGAACAGAGACAAUUUGAUAACCGUUUGAUAACCGAUCAUGAAAUUGAAAUGUUAAUCGUUUUUCUCUCCACGGAUGUUACCUGACCCAAGUAUUUCCAGCAUUUUGUGUUUUCAUUUUUCAUCUGUAGUUUUUACUUUUUGAUUACACACUGAUGUUGGCACAAAUUAUUGACAUUGUCUGACAGCAGAAAAAGAACAGCUGAAAUAAUUUGUGUUAAUGUGAACAAACUUCAGAAUUCUCGACCUGAAACGUCACCUACUCCUUUUCUCCAUAGAUGCUGCCUGACUGAGUUUCUCCAGCAUUUUUUGUCUACCAGAAUUAUUCAAAGCAUUUCUCUUGCAACAAUAUACUGAGAAAGGAUACAACCAUAUGUUCCAAUAGUAAUUGUGAAAAAUUGAUUAUUAUCUAUUUUACAUGAAUUCUCUGAGAAUUUACUGAAUAACUUUAAUUUCUGGCAGAAUGAAGGUAACAAUUGUACCUUCAAAUCCACCUGGAAAUGGAGAGGAGUAGCAAUAAGCAAAUAUAGAUGCUUUUUAUCAAUCAUUCUAUCAUAGAAACAUAGAAAUUAGGUGCAGGAGUAGGCCAUUCGCGACCAUACUCACGACCAUACAGGUUUCACCCCUCGACAUGUCGCCAGGAUGUUGCCUGUAUGGUCGUGAAUAGUCUCCUUGUCACCCAAAGAUGCUUUUUAUCAAUCAUUCUAUCAUAAAAUGGCCACAUUUUCCAAUUUUGUGGCGGGGAUUAGCCUUUCCAAAUAGAAGACCACCUUGUUAAGACAAUUAAAUGGUGGUUGUAAACUGACAUUUAAAUUAGUAAGACUUUUUCUAUUGGAGUGUUAAGCUGCUGUUGAGACUCGGAGAUGUACACUUUAGGGUUCCUCCAAAAACCGGUUCCCUUUAACAAACAUGCCUUGGCGAAUGUAACCAAAUCCAGAUUUCAGUUUCAAAAAGUCUUAAUACUUCAGCAAUGUCCUGACUUUUUUCAUUUUUAUUUAAUAUGCUGUUUUUAGUAAAUCAAAUAUUCUUUCCGAAA